rnacentral:rRNA from 1 species
UACGGAGGUGGCGAGCGUUGUCCGAAGUUACUGGGCGUAAAGCGCGCGUAGGCGGGUAGGUAAGUGAGGGGUGAAAUCCUGGAGCUCAACUCCAGAACUGCCUUUGAUACUGGCGAUCUCGAGUCCGGGAGAGGUGAGUGGAACUGCGAGUGUAGAGGUGAAAUUCGUAGAUAUUCGCAAGAACACCAGUGGCGAAGGCGGCUCACUGGCCCGGUACUGACGCUGAGGUGCGAAAGCGUGGGGAGCAAACAGG